GCUGACAAAAGAAGAGAAAAAAAACAUUGCAUUCGGGUUCCUUCACACUGCGGCGGUUUGAUGGCCUGCGGCCGUCUGCUAGUGCGCGACAGCACAAAGUGCUGACUACUGGCGAUUCUACUGGCAAUCUACUGCUGACAAAACUACUGGGAUUCACGCGCCCCUUAAUCCCGACCAUCAGUAGCAGAGCAGCCGAACGCUGCACUAGAAAUGUAUCAAGCAUGACAAGCACCAGCGCGAGAAGCAGGGUGCGGAGGCGAUGUUUGACGUCACUCGGGGCGUUCUCGUCGCGAGCGCGCGAAGCGCGAUAGCAGCGCCGAUGCGCGGCCCCGCAGCCGUUCCAGCUCCCUAAGCCGUGGUCCAUUUUAAUCUGUCCGCGACUCUACGUCUUCAGGUGCGGAAACAAUCAUAACCUGCAGUCUAGCCGACAGUGAUCGCACUCUAUCACGGUUCUCAGCCAGCUUCAUCAAAGAACACUGCUCUUGCUUCCGCCGGAGGCACGUUUAGGGAAAUAUGGGCCAACUGGCUAGCACUCGCAGGUCUCGUUAUGUGUGGGGCAUGAGGCCUGAGGAGCGCCGACUGGCUCAGGAAUCCUCGGCGGGAACGGAGCCACCAGAGCCACUAGCUUCGCAAGGGGGUGGAAGCAUCUCGCAAGCAGCUGGACCGAGUAAAUCCCCUUCGCAAGAAGCACAGCCUGCCGUCGACCCCGCCAGCCACCACAACAUCGAAGACCUCUCCACAUCGGCUAGCCUAAUGACACAGCUGUCCCUGGUUCUCAUGCAACCCGGCGCUGGCCCGAGCCAGCAGCCUGACGAUAUCGGGCUGGUCUCACCGGUGAGCGACCAUGAGACGGCAGUGCCUGAUGAUGCCGGGAUGAUCCGCAGCUUGUUCUGCUUCGGCUGCUGAAACCCGGCAACAAGUUCAGCUUCGACAGCCCCCACUGUCUGCUCUACUCGGAGGGUGGCCAGGCUGCAAGGAUGGAGAUCUCUUGUUUCGCACUCUCUUAUAACCAUUCCUAUAGCUAUCUGCGCAUAGCUUAUGUCUGACGAGGUGACCAUGCCGAAUAAAUUUAUUUCCAUGUGCUCUCA